rnacentral:misc_RNA from 1 species
UCUCCGUAGGUGAACCUGCGGAGGGAUCAUUACAGAGUUCAUGCCCUACCGGGUAGGUCUCCCACCCUAUGUUAUUAUUACUUUGUUGCUUUGGCGGGCCGUUAGGCUCCGGCCCGACUACCGGCCCCGGCUGGUAAGCGCCCGCCAGAGGACCCAAAACCCUGAAUAUUAGUGUCGUCUGAGUACUAUAUAAUAGUUAAAACUUUCAACAACGGAUCUCUUGGUUCUC